rnacentral:snRNA from 1 species
AUGUUCACUUAAACAGCACAUAGACUAAAUUGGAAAGACAUAGAGAAAAGAUUAGUCUGGCCCUGCACAAGGAUGAUAUGUACAUUUUUUUAAGCAUCCUAUACUUUC